rnacentral:lncRNA from 1 species
AAGUUCCUUCUAAAACAGGGGUCCCCAACCCCCAGACCACAGACAAGUAUCAGUCUGUGGCCUGUUAGGAAUGGGGCUGCACAGCAGGAGGUCAGCAGUGGGCAAGUGAGCAAAGUUUCAUCUGUAUUAACAACAGCCCCUCCCCAUCACUCACAUUACCACCUGAGUUCUACAUCCUGUCAGCUCAGAAGUAGCAUUAGAUUCUCACAGGUGUGCAAAUCCUAAAAAAGAAAAAAAAGAACAGUCUAUUAACAUAGAGUCCCUUCUUAAUUCUGACUCCCUACAAUUAGAUAUUAUCACUUAUAGAACUACUAGUAAGGGCUUAAUCUUACAAGGUUUUUUUCUCUACCCUAAAAAUAUCAAAAAGUUUCUUAAUCUUCUUUCUUUCAAUCCGUCAUUCAUACCCUUACUAAUAAAAUAAGAGGAGCUCCAAGAGAACUGGUACCACGGAGAAAGGACUGAAGACAAAUAUAACGUGUGUAAAGGACAGGGGAAGGCAGGGAAGAGACAAGUUCAUAAACGUGGAACUGUUAUAAAAGCUUCCUCCUCAAGUGGAUGACUCUUCCAGUUAGUAUCUCCUCCUACCUUUGUUUCUUUCAAUGUUGGUAAGGAAGUUAAGAGCUGUGAGGAGAUAAGUAGGAGGGGAAAGAAAAGAAAAUUUUUUUUAAUUUUUUUUUUUUUUAAGACAGAGUCUUGCUCUGUCGCCCAGGCUAGAGUGCAGUAGCGCAAUCUCAGUGCAACCUCCGCCUCCCAGGUUCAAGCGAUUCUCCUGCCUCAGCCUCCCGAGUAGCUGGGAUUACAGGCACCCACCACCACGCCCAGCUAAUUUUUAUAUUUUUAGUAGAGACGGGGUUUCACCAUCUUGGAAAGGCUGGUCUUGAACUCCUGACCUCAUGAUCCACCGGCCUCAGCCUCCCAAAGUGCUGGGAUUACAGGCGUGAGCCGCCGCGCCUGGCCUACUUAUUUAUUUUUCUUUUGCUUCCUCAUCCUCUGUCAGAGAGAG